UACGUAGGGUGCAAGCGUUAAUCGGAAUUACUGGGCGUAAAGCGUGCGCAGGCGGUUGUGCAAGACAGAUGUGAAAUCCCCGGGCUCAACCUGGGAAUUGCAUUUGUGACUGCACGGCUAGAGUGUGUCAGAGGGGGGUAGAAUUCCACGUGUAGCAGUGAAAUGCGUAGAGAUGUGGAGGAAUACCGAUGGCGAAGGCAGCCCCCUGGGAUAACACUGACGCUCAUGCACGAAAGCGUGGGGGGCAAACAGG
rnacentral:rRNA from 1 species